AUACGAAGGGGGCUAGCGUUGUUCGGAAUCACUGGGCGUAAAGCGCGCGUAGGUGGAUCAAUUAGUUGAGGGUGAAAUCCCGGGGCUCAACCUCGGAACUGCCUUCAAUACUUUUGAUCUUGAGACCGAGAGAGGUGAGUGGAAUUCCUAGUGUAGAGGUGAAAUUCGUAGAUAUUAGGAAGAACACCAGUGGCGAAGGCGGCUCACUGGCUCGGUACUGACGCUGAGGUGCGAAAGCGUGGGGAGCAAACAGGAUUAGAAACCCUAGUAGUCC
rnacentral:rRNA from 1 species